rnacentral:rRNA from 1 species
GACGAACGCUGGCGGCGUGCUUAACACAUGCAAGUCGAACGAAGUGGCGAACGGGUGAGUAACGCGUACUAAACCUGCCCUUCAGAGGGGGACAACAGUUGGAAACGACUGCUAAUACCGCAUACUGAAGGAGGGGAUUGCGUCUGAUUAGCUAGUUGGAGGGGUACCGGCCCACCAAGGCGAUGAUCAGUAGCCGGUCUGAGAGGAUGAACGGCCACAUUGGGACUGAGACACGGCCCAGACUCAUACGGGAGGCAGCAGUGGGGAAUCUUCCGCAAUGGACGAAAGUCUGACGGAGCAACGCCGCGUGAGUGAUGACGGCCUUCGGGUUGUAAAGCUCUGUUAAUCGGGACGCGGUACCGGAAUAGAAAGCCACGGCUAACUACGUGCCAGCAGCCGCGGUAAUUC